rnacentral:rRNA from 1 species
GACGGAGGGGGCUAGCGUUGUUCGGAAUUACUGGGCGUAAAGCGCACGUAGGCGGCUUUGUAAGUUAGAGGUGAAAGCCCGGGGCUCAACUCCGGAAUUGCCUUUAAGACUGCAUCGCUAGAAUUGUGGAGAGGUAAGUGGAAUUCCGAGUGUAGAGGUGAAAUUCGUAGAUAUUCGGAAGAACACCAGUGGCGAAGGCGACUUACUGGACACAUAUUGACGCUGAGGGUGCGAAAGCGUGGGGAGCAAACAGG